GGGAGAAUCCUGAAUUCGAAAGGGGUUCUGGAUUCAAGGCCAACGAGAGAAAAGGGACGCCCUCUGGAGAUGGCCCCGGCCGCCCGCAGCGAUUAAUUUCGUUCGCGGUGUCGUUCCCGAGGCGCACUCCAAGAGGCAACGUUCUUCCUGCUCCGGUGGAGUGCAAUUCCCCCCUAGUAGAAACGUCGCGACCCGUUGGGUGCCGGUCAAAGGCCCGGGGUGGAGCCCGCGUGCCCGGUGGGGGUUCCCAUCUGGGCGUGCGGACCCCCGGUUUGCCCGGCCGGCUGCCCGACGGUAUGACCAGAGGAGUCGAUCCGCUAAAACGAGAAUCACUGUGGUUGUGAAGCGUCCGGCCCAUCUGCCGAUGCGCGCCAGAGGUCUCCCGCUAAGAGAGCGGGCUGCGCUGCGUCUUCGGAUUUGGUGUCCUCGGACCGGAUCGGGUCUCCCGUCGGCGACGCCCACCUUCGGAUGGUCUCCCG
rnacentral:rRNA from 1 species